rnacentral:rRNA from 1 species
GGUCAGGACGAACGCUGGCGGCGUGCCUAACACAUGCAAGUCGAGCGAGGAGAUUCCUUCGGGAUGAUCCUAGCGGCGGACGGGUGAGUAACACGUGGGCAACCUGCCUCAUAGAGAGGAAUAGCCUUCCGAAAGGGAGAUUAAUACCUCAUAACAUUGCAGUUUCGCAUGGAACAGCAAUUAAAGGAGUAAUCCGCUAUGAGAUGGGCCCGCGGCGCAUUAGCUAGUUGGUGAGGUAACGGCUCACCAAGGCGACGAUGCGUAGCCGACCUGAGAGGGUGAUCGGCCACAUUGGGACUGAGACACGGCCCAGACUCCUACGGGAGGCAGCAGUGGGGAAUAUUGCACAAUGGGGGAAACCCUGAUGCAAGCAACGCCGCGUGAGUGAUGACGGCCUUCGGGUUGUAAAGCUCUGUCUUCAGGGACGAUAAUGACGGUACCUGAGGAGGAAGCCACGGCUAACUACGUGCCAGCCGCUGC